rnacentral:rRNA from 1 species
UACGUAGGUGGCAAGCGUUGUCCGGAUUUAUUGGGUUUAAAGGGUGCGUAGGCGGCCCUGUAAGUCCGUGGUGAAAUACUCCAGCUUAACUGGAGGGGUGCCAUUGAUACUGCAGGGCUUGAGUGGAGUCGAAGUAGGCGGAAUUGACGGUGUAGCGGUGAAAUGCUUAGAUAUCGUCAAGAACACCGAUAGUGAAGACAGCUUACUAGGCUUCUACUGACGCUGAGGCACGAAAGUGUGGGGAUCAAACAGG